UGGGAAAGCUGUGGCCAAAUCAAUGAUAA
rnacentral:piRNA from 1 species